UACGUAGGGUGCAAGCGUUGUCCGGAAUUAUUGGGCGUAAAGAGCUCGUAGGCGGUCUGUCGCGUCUGGUGUGAAAACUCAGGGCUUAACCCUGAGCUUGCAUCGGGUACGGGCAGACUAGAGUGCGGUAGGGGAGACUGGAAUUCCUGGUGUAGCGGUGAAAUGCGCAGAUAUCAGGAGGAACACCGGUGGCGAAGGCGGGCCUCUGGGCCGUAACUGACGCUGAGGAGCGAAAGCAUGGGGAGCGAACAGG
rnacentral:rRNA from 1 species